rnacentral:rRNA from 1 species
AACGAACGCUGGCGGCGUGCUUAAGACAUGCAAGUCGAACGGUAAGGCUCCCUUCGGGGAGUACACGAGUGGCGCACGGGUGAGUAACGCGUGGGUAAUCUGCCUUCGGGUCCGGGACAACUUCGGGAAACUGGAGCUAAUACCGGAUAAGACCACGAGACCUUCGGGUCAUGUGGAAAAAGAUGGCCUCUCCUUGGAAGCUAUUGCCUGUCGACGAGCCCGCGUCCCAUUAGCUUGUUGGUGAGGUAACGGCUCACCAAGGCUCCGAUGGGUAGCUGGUCUGAGAGGAUGAUCAGCCACACUGGAACUGAGACACGGUCCAGACUCCUACGGGAGGCAGCAGUCGGGAAUUUUUGGGCAAUGGGGGCAACCCUGACCCAGCAACGCCGCGUGAGGGAUGAAGGCCUUCGGGUCGUAAACCUCUGUCGGGAGGGAAGAAAGGUCUUCGAGCGAAUAGGUCGAGGGCUUGACGGUACCUCCAAAGGAAGCGCCGGCUAACUCCGUG